AAACGAUGCCGAUGUCGUGGUGCCGAAUAAUGGCGACGCGAAAGAGAAAUCGAGUAGGGCCCUGGGGAGAGUACACGCGCAAGCGAGAAAUUUAAAGGAAAUUGACGGAAGAACACCACAAGGAGUGGAGUGUGCGGCUUAAUUUGACUCAACGCGGGACAACUUACCGGGUCCGACGACCGUAAGAGUGUGACACACGAUAGGUCGAAGAGUGGUGCAUGGCCGUUAACGACGAGUGGAGUGAUCUUUGGGGUAAGUCCGUAAAUUAGUGAGACCUCAGCCGUAAGGGACAGGUGCGCAAAGCACAGGAAGGAUGGGUCAAGGACAGGUCAGUGAUGCCCUUAGAUGGUCCGGGCUGCACGCGCACUACAGUGGUCGCCGAAAUUACCUGAUAAUUUUAAAGGCGAUCGAGAGGGAAUGAGCUUUGUAAGAGGCUCAGGAACGAGGAAUUGCUAGUAAUCGCGGACUCAUUAAGACGCGAUGAAUACGUCCCUGUUCUUUGUACACACCGCCCGUCGUUAUCGAAGAUGAAGACAGGCGCGAACGAUCUACCAGAAAGUGAGCGCAGGUCUUUAGAUCUGAUACAAGUCGUAACAAGGUAGCUGUAGGUGAACCUGUAGCUGG
rnacentral:rRNA from 1 species